AAGAGGUGCAUCUAUUUAGAAAAAAAUGUUUCCAUUACAGUUUUGCGAAAAAAGUCUGUUUUGAUACUCCCCAAAUACCACCUCCUCUAAGCGUAAAAACCUUUUUUUUUUCAAAAAAUUAGAGUUUUUUCCAAAAUUGUGGUGUUUCCAUUAGGAGAAUUUAUCAUCGAAAUUCCAAUUUGUGAAAUGUCAAAAUUAAUGGAAACGCACCUAUAUGACGUAUAUGCAUUAAUUGUCGCAAAAAGUGACGUUUAAAAAUGUUAAAAACCCAUAUCACUGGUUAUUCAUGUCCACACUCAGAUGCAAAACCGGAGUUUUCCAAAAUCUUCACUUUGGCCGUCGUUUUCAAAAUGCACCAUUUUGAGUGACUUAAAACGCUGUUUUGUGUGGAUGAUAGACCAAAACGUAUAAAAAUUUGUUCGUUUUAGCAGAAACACGUCUACGUGUGGACAUGGCCUUUGAAUGCCCAAAGUCUGAAGAUGGAGAACAGCAGCACUUCCCAUGAAAGUCCAAGCAUUACUGAGCUCAAUAGCCUGAAGGAGGAAAAACCAAGCCUGGCAUCUGAAUGUGAAAAGCUGCGAUACCAACAGCAACAAGCUGACGAGACAAGAUCCCAAACAAGAAGUGUUGAUUUUUCUGCACCGACGCAAGCAGAAAAUCCAAGAGGAUCAGCUGAACCUAAGAUACGCUUCAUUUCUGAAGACAGGAGGAGUUUGAUUGAACUGCGUCAAAAUGACUGGCGUCUUCUCGUCCUCUGCGCGCCAGUACUUGAACCGGUGCAAGUAGAUUAUGAAUCUAACAACAUUGAUGAAAUCCUGAAAAAGCACCUGGACAGAUCAGAUCACAAAGUUUCCAAGUGAUACUUCUCUUCCUUGAAAAUGAAGACAAGUUUUUACAAAUGAAAAAGGCGGAGCACUGAUCAUGACGGUCCUGCAUGAACCUGACCUGAACUUUCUUAAUAAUCUUAAAAAUAAUGUCUGUGUGGAAAUUAAGUUGUGUUUAUUCAAAAUUAUGUGUCAUCAUUACCUGUUUUUUUUAUUUUUAUUUUUUUUUUUUUUUUAUGAAAAUUGCAUUUCAUAGCUAAAAAGCUUCCUCUCCUUUUUAUUAACUUCAGCAUCUGAGUGUAUUUCCUCUUCCUAACUGGGAUUUGUAGAAUCUUUAAUAGUGUGUUUUAAGUCUCACUCCAACCACAUUUGUAUAUUCAAAAUUUGUUCCCAGUGGUCGUUUAAUUAUUAUUAUUCAGUUUUUAGCCAAAAUCAUAAAGCCUGUGUUGUUUUUUAAGGAAUAUUUUCUUCAGAGCAGCAGGAGCUCAUUAGAAAUUCACCUUUGAGUUGUGGGCGGGACUGUUGGCAAGGAAGUAACCUUACACUGAUAUCCCAUCAUUCCUUUGUUGACAUUCUCUCCAGCUAGCUUACACCCCCAAGCUAACAUUAGCGUAGCAACAAAAACAAAAAUGGCUAGCAAUAUCAGAUCUAUCCAGCUUUUCAAUUUUGACCCAAAUCCCAGCUUGGAUGAUAAAUAUUAAGACGUUAAUGGAUAUAUUUGUUUGCAAGAGGGUGGAUCUGAGAUUUCUCAAACGGCGAGUUUUUAUCUGCCCGUGACCACGUUUCACAAUUUAAAUUAAGAAGUACUCAGAAACACAGUUUUAAUUUUAAUUUAUUUUAUCUAUAUCCUUCAUUGUGAGAAAAAUGCUACAAAUACACGAUUUUCAUUGGACUGGGUCAUUAAAGAUAUUGAUAUCGUUUGUUUCAGGGUGAAAUUGUGAUGUGUUUUAUCAUAUUUAGUGGGGAUGGAGUAGAACUGUUUAGUUUUGGCCUAAAUAAAUCAAAUUAGAUUCCUGGUUGAACAGUUUCAGUUGCAAUAAUCUCCAGAUCCAGGUUCAUCUGAACACUGUAAAUCACAGAGGAUGUGGAAGCAUUGCACUUUGUUAUGAAGAUGUGAGUACAGAAACUGGGACAGGAUGUUUGAUUUUUUUUAAAGACAAAUUCUAACAGUUUUAUUUGACUUUUAUAUUCUGUGUGUUUUAUUGAUUUUAUUUUGUGCAAAUUGUUAAAUGUUGAGAUAGCUUAAGUAAUCUUAAACCAAAUUGUUUGAUCAUAUGAAUAAUUAUGAUAAUAUUGACCCCAUGCUACUCAUGGCUGUAUUCCUCGUGUUUGAUGUUAAUACUAUUAUGUAUUUCUGUCUUUUUUCACUUAUUUCAAAACAUGUUUACUUUCUUAAAAAUGGAAACUGAACACUUCUUCAUUCAUGAGGUAUCCCCCUACCUUCCAUGUUUUUGUUAAAAAGAGACUUUACUACCCCCUCCUAAACUCAUCCACACUUCUUCAGGUAUGCUGUCAGGUAUGUAUGUCCACCUUCUCCUCUAUGCUCUAUAGCUCUAUAACAUUUACUUCAAUCCUCCUCUCCCCAAGUUCUUCUUCUAUUUUGGUUCUGUACUGAUUUUUUUGUUUUUUAUAACUUGUCCUGUCCAACUGCUAAGCAAACAGAUACGAGCUGAGAGCUGAAGAAGAAAAGAAGAAGAGAGAGGUUGGGGGGGCUGUAAAAGAGGGGAAUUUAGAGAAAAGAGAAAAUGGUAACAGAGGGAGGUAACAAUCAUUCUGUCACACAUACUAUUAGUGCGAAGGUGAGCUGACACCUGUGCUCAGGUGUGUGCGCUUGUGUUUUGUUGAGAUGACUGAUGAUGGAAUGUACAGAAGGGGACAGUGCCCGACCAUCCCCACACCAAGACCCUAUGCUGGGGAGGCACCAGCAGCCCGUAGCCCCAUACACCCACCAUGAGGCUGCAAAAAGAAUCUGCUCGCCGGGCAAUCCCGCCAAACACCCAGACCAGGGCACGCGGGACCGCCGCAUGAGGCCCCCCACGCCCGAGAGAGGGAAGACAAAAUAGCACAGAGAGUACAGGCCCCAGCCCAGCCAGAAGAGCAUCCCCCCGCCCUAUGAGUCAGGGCCCCCCAAGGGAGAUCUGCUCCGAUGCACCAGACAACCGCCCACCCCCGCCGUGGGGGGUUCCAGGAGAGAAUGAGGCGGGGGCCGCCCAUCCCCGCCCAGGAGCGACACCCAAGAGAAAUGGGGGCUCUGAAGGAGUGUAGUAAACAAGGUCCGAUCAGGCUGAUCCAUUGAUGGAGUUGUUGGAGAGCUGGUAGACUGACCCCCGAUGGUGUGUCUGAAUCUCCACUAUGUUCAAAACUUGUUGAAUUUAACUUCAUUAAAUGCAAAUUGUAAUUGUUUAUUGCUUUCCAAUUGUUUUAAAAUUGUAGUUACUUGCCUAAUACAUUUAAAAAAUUGCAACCUUCAACACAUAAAGAGCCA
rnacentral:lncRNA from 1 species